AACAAACGCUGGCGGCGUGCCUAAUACAUGCAAGUCGAACGGGGAAAGCUUUCGGGUGAGUACUAGUGGCGCACGGGUGAGGAACGCGUGGAUAAUCUGCCUUAGAGUGGGGGAUAACUAGUCGAAAGAUUAGCUAAUACCGCAUAAGACCACAGGAGCUGCGGCUCAAGGGGUCAAAGGUUUUUCGCUCUAAGAUGAGUCCGCGUAAGAUUAGCUAGUUGGUGAAGUAACGGCUCACCAAGGCGACGAUCUUUAACUGGUCUGAGAGGAUGAUCAGUCACACUGGAACUGAGACACGGUCCAGACUCCUACGGGAGGCAGCAGUAGGGAAUAUUGCACAAUGGAGGAAACUCUGAUGCAGCGACGCCGCGUGAGUGAUGAAGGCCUUCGGGUCGUAAAGCCCUGUCGCAGGGGAAUAACACAAUGAAUGUACCCUGUAAGAAAGGAUCGGCUAACUUCGUGCCAGCCGCCGCGGUAAGAC
rnacentral:rRNA from 1 species